rnacentral:ribozyme from 1 species
UAGUUCCUUUUUUUCUAACUUUCUUUUCUUUGUCUUUCUUUCUUUGUUUAUCUGUGUGUCAUUUUUCUUUUGUCUUGUCUGCUUUUCUACAGAAAAACAGAAAAGAAAAGAAAAU